UAGGGAAUCUUCGGCAAUGGACGAAAGUCUGACCGAGCAACGCCGCGUGAGUGAAGAAGGUUUUCGGAUCGUAAAACUCUGUUGUUAGAGAAGAACAAGGACGUUAGUAACUGAACGUCCCCUGACGGUAUCUAACCAGAAAGCCACGGCUAACUACGUGCCAGCAGCCGCGGUAAUACGUAGGUGGCAAGCGUUGUCCGGAUUUAUUGGGCGUAAAGCGAGCGCAGGCGGUUUCUUAAGUCUGAUGUGAAAGCCCCCGGCUCAACCGGGGAGGGUCAUUGGAAACGGGGAGACUUGAGUGCAGAAGAGGAGAGUGGAAUUCAAUGUGUAGCGGUGAAAUGCGUAGAUAUAUGGAGGAACACCAGUGGCGAAGGCGGCUCUCUGGUCUGUAACUGACGCUGAGGCUGGAAAGCGUGGGGAGCAAACAGG
rnacentral:rRNA from 1 species